UGGGGAAUAUUGCACAAUGGGCGCAAGCCUGAUGCAGCCAUGCCGCGUGUGUGAAGAAGGCCUUCGGGUUGUAAAGCACUUUCAGCGAGGAGGAAGGUGGUGAACUUAAUACGUUCAUCAAUUGACGUUACUCGCAGAAGAAGCACCGGCUAACUCCGUGCCAGCAGCCGCGGUAAUACGGAGGGUGCAAGCGUUAAUCGGAAUUACUGGGCGUAAAGCGCACGCAGGCGGUUUGUUAAGUCAGAUGUGAAAUCCCCGGGCUCAACCUGGGAACUGCAUUUGAAACUGGCAAGCUAGAGUCUCGUAGAGGGGGUAGAAUUCCAGGUGUAGCGGUGAAAUGCGUAGAGAUCUGGAGGAAUACCGGUGGCGAAGGCGGCCCCCUGGACGAAGACUGACGCUCAGGUGCGAAAGCGUGGGGAGCAAACAGAUUAGAUACCCUGGUAGUCCACGCUGUAAACGAUGUCGAUUUUGGAGGUUGUGCCCCUUGAGGCGUGGCUUCCGAGCUAACGCGUUAAAUCGACCG
rnacentral:rRNA from 1 species